GAUGAACGCUAGCUACAGGCUUAACACAUGCAAGUCGAGGGGCAGCGGGAUUGAAGCUUGCUUCAAUUGCCGGCGACCGGCGCACGGGUGAGUAACGCGUAUCCAACCUUCCGUACACUCAGGGAUAGCCUUUCGAAAGAAAGAUUAAUACCUGAUGGUAUGAUGAGAUUGCAUGAUAUCAUCAUUAAAGAUUUAUCGGUGUACGAUGGGGAUGCGUUCCAUUAGGUAGUAGGCGGGGUAACGGCCCACCUAGCCAACGAUGGAUAGGGGUUCUGAGAGGAAGGUCCCCCACAUUGGAACUGAGACACGGUCCAAACUCCUACGGGAGGCAGCAGUGAGGAAUAUUGGUCAAUGGACGAGAGUCUGAACCAGCCAAGUAGCGUGAAGGAUGAAGGUCCUACGGAUUGUAAACUUCUUUUAUAAGGGAAUAAACCCUCCCACGUGUGGGAGCUUGUAUGUACCUUAUGAAUAAGCAUCGGCUAACUCCGG
rnacentral:rRNA from 1 species